GCGGGGGUGCCCGAGCCAGGUCAAAGGGGCAGGACUGAGGCUCCUGUGCCUUAGUGGCUGCGUGGGUUCAAAUCCCACCCCCCGCA
rnacentral:tRNA from 1 species